rfam:Ixodes scapularis strain Wikel colony gcontig_1108378239728, whole genome shotgun sequence.
GCCUCGGUGGUUCCGAGGCGAGAGCGCCGGCCUACGGAUCCCUAUGUGGCGGGUUCGAAUCCCGGCCGAGGCG